rnacentral:rRNA from 1 species
GAUGAACGCUGACAGAAUGCUUAACACAUGCAAGUCUUUGGCGAAGCUGUGCUUGCACAGCCUAGCCAAGGCGGACGGGUGAGUAACGCGUAAGGAACUUGCCCUGCAGUCAGGGAUAACAGACGGAAACGACUGAUUAGACCUGGUAAAGUCAGGCGGACACAUGUCCAGCCUGAUGAAAAGAGAUGCUGCAGGAGAGCCUUGCGUCCUAUUAGCUUGUUGGUGGGGUAACGGCCCACCAAGGCGAUGAUAGGUAGCCGGCCUGAGAGGGUGGACGGCCACAAGGGGACUGAGAUACGGCCCUUACUCCUACGGGAGGCAGCAGUGGGGAAUAUUGGACAAUGGGGGCAACCCUGAUCCAGCAAUUCUGUGUGCACGAUGAAGGUUUUCGGAUUGUAAAGGGCUUUCAGCAGGGAAGAAAAAAAUGACGGUACCUGCAGAAGAAGCGACGGCUAAAUACGUG